UUACUCUGGUUUCCCUUCAAAUCGUAUAAAUCUUUCGCCUUUUACUAAAGAUUUCCGUGGAGGGAAACAACUCAAUGAGUCUAUAGGCAAUUUUUUGUUGCCCUGCCUUAGUGGGAAA
rnacentral:snRNA from 1 species